UACGUAGGUGGCGAGCGUUGUCCGGAUUUACUGGGCGUAAAGGGAGCGUAGGCGGACUUUUAAGUGAGAUGUGAAAUACCCGGGCUCAACUUGGGUGCUGCAUUUCAAACUGGAAGUCUAGAGUGCAGGAGAGGAGAAUGGAAUUCCUAGUGUAGAGGUGAAAUGCGUAGAGAUUAGGAAGAACACCAGUGGCGAAGGCGAUUCUCUGGACUGUAACUGACGCCGAGGCUCGAAAGCGUGGGGAGCAAACAGGAUUAGAUACCCUGGUA
rnacentral:rRNA from 1 species